rnacentral:rRNA from 1 species
AGAGUUUGAUCAUGGCUCAGGAUGAACGCUGGCGGCGUGCUUUACACAUGCAAGUCGAACGAAGCACUUUAUUUGAUUUCCUUCGGGAUUGAUUAUUUUGUGACUGAGUGGCGGACGGGUGAGUAAUCGCGUGGGUAACCUGCCUUGUACAGGGGGAUAACAGUUGGAAACGGCUGCUAAUACCGCAUAAGCGCACAGUACCGCAUGGUAUAGUGUGAAAAACUCCGGUGGUAUAAGAUGGACCCGCGAUUGAUUAGCUGGUUGGUGGGGUAACGGCCUACCAAGGCGACGAUCAAUAGCCGACCUGAGAGGGUGACCGGCCACAUUGGGACUGAGACACGGCCCAAACUCCUACGGGAGGCAGCAGUGGGGAAUAUUGCACAAUGGGCGAAAGCCUGAUGCAGCGACGCCGCGUGAGCGAAGAAGUAUUUCGGUAUGUAAAGCUCUAUCAGCAGGGAAGAUAAUGACGGUACCUGACUAAGAAGCACCGGCUAAAUACGUGCCAGCAGCCGCGGUAAUACGUAUGGUGCAAGCGUUAUCCGGAUUUACUGGGUGUAAAGGGAGCGCAGGCGGUGCGGCAAGUCUGAUGUGAAAGCCCGGGGCUCAACCCCGGUACUGCAUUGGAAACUGUCGUACUAGAGUGUCGGAGGGGUAAGCGGAAUUCCUAGUGUAGCGGUGAAAUGCGUAGAUAUUAGGAGGAACACCAGUGGCGAAGGCGGCUUACUGGACGAUAACUGACGCUGAGGCUCGAAAGCGUGGGGAGCAAACAGGACUAGAUACCCUGGUAGUCCACGCCGUAAACGAUGAAUAUUAGGUGUCGGGAGGCAUUGCCUUUCGGUGCCGUCGCAACGCAGUAAGCUAUUCCACCUGGGGA